AUCUGAAUUCUUGAUAUGAACCAGUAUAUAUUUUGAAUUGAAUUCUGAAUUGAUAGCUCCUCAUUUGAUUGAUGUCAUGAGUUGAGCCUUGAGAUAUGAAUACGUCUGUUUGAUUAUGAUUAUGAACCUAUGGUAUGUCAGUAAGAAUACCCAUACUAACAGGGUAGUGUUAGUCUUUGUGCACAUCGUAUCUGAACCCUAGUUGGUCGGGGGAGUCACCAACCUGUGUGGACUGAUCAUCCCACAGUACGGAGCCUCAUGCUCAUUGUAUUUGGAUUUUCUGACGAGUUUUACCAUAUGAUAUUCUUGUUAUGGCCUAUUUGAGAAACCUUUCUAUAAGAACCUAGAGCCAUACUUGUAUAUAUAUUUCUCAUUGCUGUAUUACCUCGUGUGUGUAUAUUGAACGUUAUCUACUCACUGAGUUGUUGAACUCACCAUCUCAUUAUUUAUCCUUUUCAGGCUUAUAGCUUGAUAGCAGGUCACUUUUGUUGGACUUUCCGAACCUGCUCUUUUGGUUGUAAUUUGUACAUUUUCCUUUAUGUCUAGUUAGUGCUCCAAAACUCCGAAAUUAUAUUAACUGUUGUAUUAAGACAAUUCAAUUAUAUUAUGAAGUUGAUUUUGUUAUUAAUGCUGCGUUGAACUCUGAUUGAGUUAGGAUAAGUUUGUGUGUAAGUUUGGGUUCGCAUAGGUAUGGAACCUUGGAGGGGAACCUUGCCUAUGUGCCGGUCAUGGAUCCGGGAUUCGGGUCGUGAUAAACUUGGUAUCAGAGCUUUAGGUUAAAAAACAAUAAUAUAAUUAAAUUCGUAAUAAGUGGAGCAUUAGGAUCCGUGUUGUCUUUGAAAUUCUGAAUUCUCAUUAAGCAUGUCUUCUUCCUUGUGAUAGAUAUGCUUUCCUAUAAUUCUGUGGUAAUUAUCAUGCUAUUGUUCUAGCAUGACUUGAGUGCUCUCACUUUUAUUUUAGGAAAUGCCGAGGAAUAGAUGAAUAGCUGAUACUGUUAGAGUAGAGGAUGAUCAGGAUAAUGUCCCUAUUGGGCGGUUGAGAACUGCAAGGCAGAGAAGGAGGCGCGGUGCACCCGUGCCUCAACAUGUUGAGGAGGUACCUCCACCAGUGGAGGAAGAGCCUCAGGAGAUAGAAGAGGAAGAUAUAGUUGAUGAAACAGGUGUGGGGGUAGCUGACCCUGAACCUGUUACAGAGUUUCAGCAACUUAGCCAGGUUGUGCGGACCUGGAUAGAGUUUUCUAUGGAGAGAGAUAGAAGGAGGGAUAGAGAUGUACCCUCGACAUCCCACACUGUUCAGGGAGUUAAUGUGCCGUUGAAUGACUUCAUGAAGUUGGCACCUCCUAUUUUUACUGGGAUGGAUAGUUCAGAGGAUCCUCAGAGGUUCCAAGAUGAUAUUUGGCGACGGUGUGAAGCUUUGGGAUGUACAGACCACCGAGCUGUGAGUUUGGCAUCGUUCAGGUUGGAAGGAGAUGUGGCAAUCUCUUGGUUUGAGUCUAGGAAAAGAGCAAGACCAGUAGAGGCUCAGUGGACAUGGAAGGAGUUUAGCUCCAUGUUCUUAGACAGGUUUCUCCCUCAGAGCGUCAGGGAUGCUCGACUUUAUGAGUUUGAGAGGCUAUCUCAGGGGAGCAUGACAGUGGAUGAGUAUGAUCUGAAGUUUACUCAGCUGUCUAGGUAUGCAGAACAUCUUCUACCCACUGAGGAGUGGAGGGUAAAGAGGUUUAUUAGAGGACUCAAAUCCUCUAUGUAUAAGGUGAUGGUGUCACAGGUGUUUCCAUCAUACUCUUUAGCUGUUGAUAGCGCCAGGUUGAUAGAGGCGCGAGAAUUAGAGGACAUGACUGCAGGCCAGUCUAAGAGGCCUAGAGAAGAGGGUCAGUCUUUUAGGCAACAGGGAUUAAGUGCAGGUCCGUCUAGGGGACGAAGUGGCCGUCAGGGCUCAUGGGUUCAGAGGAGGUUUAGACAGAGACCGUCAGUUAGUGGCUCAGGCGGUCAGAGUGGCAGUAGUGGUACUCAGAGUUUAGUUCAGACUGCACCUCGUAGUUCAUUUAUUACACCUAGUGAUAGUUCUUCAUGUCAGCACUGUGGAGGAAGUCAUACUAGUGCAGAGUGCUACAGAAGGACCGGGGCUUGUUUUAGUUGUGGCCAGAUAGGUCAUAAGAUCAGAGAGUGCCCGAGGAGACAGUUGUCAGCUUCAGGGUUAUCUGCUUCAGUCCAGCAUCCUAUUCAGGCACCAUCGACGAGCCAGUCUGUGGCUCAUGGGGGUAGAGGUUUUGGUGGCCGUGGUCAGAGAGGCCGGGGUGCAGGUGAUAGAGGUCAGAUACAGCAGGGUCAGGGGCAUGCUAGAGUUUUUGCCUUGACUCAGCAGGAUGCUCAGGCAUCCAACACAGUUGUUUCAGGUAUUCUUCCUGUUUGCUCUUUUGAAGCAAAAGUGUUGUUUGAUACGGGUGCAACCCAUUCAUUUGUUUCCCCAUAUUUUGCCAUGAGGUUAGAUAAACAACCAACCUUGUUAAAAUCCCCAAUCUCAGUCUCCACUCCCUUAGAUGAAUUAAUAUUAGUGAAGUAUGUGUAUCUGGAUUGUGAAAUAGAGAUUGGAGAUAAGAUUUUUAUGGGAGACUUAAAUGUCUUAGAUAUGGUUGAUUUUGAUGUGAUUUUGGGAAUGUAUUGGUUGGCAAAGUAUAGGGCUUCGGUAAAUUGUUGGGGUAAGAAAAUAAUAUUUGAUCUAGAUGAAGAAGUUGGGUUGGUAUUUCAAGGAGAUAAGAUUGGGUCUCCAUCAAUUAUGUUGUCGGCUAUCUCGAGGAAAAUGGCCAGAAAAGGGGUACAAUGCUACCUAGCAUACAUAGUGGAUGUAGAGAAAGAAGUUUCCCAGUUAGACCAACUCCCUAUAGUUAGUGAGUUUAUUGAUGUCUUUCCCGAUGACUUACCUGGAUUGCCUCCAUAUAGGGAGAUUGAGUUUUGUAUUGAUUUGGUUCUGGGUACCGAACCAAUAUCAAUGGCACCAUAUAGAAUGGCGCCAGCAGAAUUGAGGGAGCUAAAAGAGCAACUGCAGGAUUUGUUGGAUAAAAAGUUCAUCCGACCAAGUGUGUCCCCUUGGGGAGCCCCAGUGUUGUUUGUGAAGAAGAAAGAUGGGUAAUUGAGGUUAUGUAUAGAUUAUAGGCAACUGAAUCGGGUGACUGUUCGAAAUAGAUACCCACUCCCUCGCAUUGAUGAUUUGUUUGACCAGUUACAGGGAGCUCAAUUCUUUUCUAAGAUCGAUCUUCGAUCUGGGUAUCAUCAGUUGAGGAUUAGGGAGACAGACAUUUUGAAGACAACUUUUAGAACUCGGUAUGGUCAUUAUGAGUUCUUAGUGAUGUCUUUUGGGUUGACCAAUGCACCAGCAGCUUUUAUGGAUUUGAUGAAUAGAGUGUUUGGCCAGUUUAUUGAUCGAUUUGUAAUAGUUUUUAUUGAUGAUAUUUUGGUGUAUUCGAGGUCUAGAGAGGAGCAUGAGCAGCACUUGAGAAUGGUGCUUCAAACUCUGCGAGAUCAUCAGCUGUAUGGCAAGUUCUCAAAGAGUGAGUUUUGGUUGGAGAGUGUAGCAUUUCUUGGGCAUGUAGUGUCAAGGAAUGGGAUUGAGGUUGAUCCUCAAAAGAUUGAAGCAGUUAAGCAGUGGCUUAGACCUACUUCGGCGACAGAGAUUAGAAGUUUCUUAGGUUUGGCCGGCUAUUAUCGGAGGUUUGUGGAGAACUUUUCUCGGAUUUCUGCACCAUUGACUAAGUUAACGUAGAAAAAUGUUAAGUUUCAGUGGUCUGAAGCUUGUGAGAAAAGUUUCUUAGAGUUGAAAGAGAGAUUGACUACAGCGCCUGUUCUAGCAGUACCAUCAGGUUCUGGUGGUUACACAGUGUAUUGUGAUGCUUCGAGAGUGGGGUUAGGAUGUGUUCUAAUGCAGCAUGGCAAGGUUAUUGCCUAUGCUUCACGGCAGCUAAAGAAGCAUGAACAGAACUAUCCUACACAUGAUUUAGAGAUGGCGGCUGUAAUUUUUGCCUUGAAGAUUUGGAGGCACUACUUGUAUGGUGAAACUUGUGAGAUCUUCACAGAUCACAAGAGUUUGAAAUACAUCUUUCAACAGAGGGAUCUAAACCUGAGGCAGAGGAGAUGGAUGGAACUGCUGAAGGAUUAUGAUUGUACCAUACAUUACCACCCGGGUAAGGCAAAUGUAGUUGCCGAUGCUUUGAGUAGAAAAUCAUCAGGGAGCUUAGCUCAUAUUCAGGAGGUACGAAGACCUCUGAUUAGGGAGCUGCAUGAGUUGGUGGAUGAAGGAGUCAGAUUUGAUCUUAGUGAAGCUGGAGCAAUGAUUGCUCAUUUUCAGGUUAAGUCAGAUUUGUUUGAUAAGAUAAAAGCAGCUCAGAAGAAAGAUGAUUCACUACUCAGGAUUAGAAAUGAGGUAGAGCAGGGUAAGGCUGCAGGUUUUGUGAUAGGUGAUGAUGAUGUGCUGAGAUAUAGGGAUAGGCUUUGUGUACCUGAUGUAGAUGAUCUGAGGAGAGAAUUGAUGGUAGAGGCACAUCAGACAGUUUACACAGUGCAUCCAGGUUCCACCAAGAUGUAUAAAGACCUUAAGGUGUGUUAUUGGUGGAAUAGGAUGAAGGCUGAUGUAGCAGAUUUUGUUUCUAGGUGUUUGACCUGUCAGAGGGUAAAGGGUGAACACCAGAAACCUCCUGGAUUGUUACAACCAUUGUUGAUUCCAGAAUGGAAGUGGGAAAGGAUCACAUUGUACUUUGUGACAGGAUUGCCUAGGAGUCAGGAGGGUUAUGAUUCAAUAUGGGUGAUUGUUGAUAGGUUGACAAAAUCAGCCCAUUUUCUGCCAGUUAGGAUUACUUAUGGAUAUGCAAAGUCCACAGUUUACAUCGCGGUUUUGGGUGAAAUUCCAAGAAGCUAUGGGUACUAAAGUGCAGUUGAGUACAGCUUUUCACCCUCAGACAGAUGGUCAAUCUGAGAGGACUAUUCAGAUCUUGGAGGAUAUGCUAAGGGCUUGUGUCAUGGAUUUUGGAGUUGGUUGGAGUAAGUUCCUACCAUUAGUGGAAUUUGCUUACAACAACAGUUAUCAGGCUAGCAUAGAGAUGGCACCUUAUGAGGCUUUGUAUGGUCGGAAGUGUAGAUCACCGGUUUGUUGGUUUGAGGUUGGUGAGAAGAGGCUAAUGGGACCAGAGUUGAUUCAGAUUACCUCAGAGAAGAUAGAGGUAAUUAGAAAUAAGCUUCAAACAGCUCAGAGCAGACAAAAGAGUUACGCAGAUAAAAGAAGGCGUGACUUAGAGUUUUCAGUGGGUGACUGUGUGUUCUUAAAAGUAUCACCGACAAAAGGAGUAUUCAGGUUUGGGAAGAAAGGCAAGUUGAGUCCUCGGUUCAUUGGACCGUAUGAGAUUCUGGAGAGAGUUGGGGCAGUUGCUUAUAGGUUAGCAUUACCACCAAACUUGUCUGCUAUUCAUCCGGUAUUUCAUGUUUCCAUGCUAAGGAAGUAUAUGUCAGAUCCAUCGCAUGUAUUAGAGGUUUAUCCCAUUGAAUUGAGGGAUGAUAUGGUUUAUGAGGUGCAACCAGAAGCUAUAGUCGACCGACAAGUGAGGAAGCUUAGGUCAAAGGAUAUAGCUUCAGUAAAAGUGAAAUGGAAAGGUCAUUCACGUGAGGAAGCGACAUGGGAGCUCGAGGAUAAGAUGCGUGAGGAGUAUCCUCAUCUUUUCGAUAAUCUCGGUAAGUAUUCAAUCUUUUCUAUUCAGUUUCGAGGACGAAACUUUUAUAAGGUGGGGAGAUUGUAAUGUUUUGAAUUAAUAAGUAGGAAAAUACAAUAAAGCCCUUGGUGGCUUAAAGUGUGGGAAUAAAUGAAUGAGGGAUAGUGUGGUAAUUAGAUAAACAUAAUAUAUAUAAAUAGAAGAAAAAAAAAAACAAAUGAGGGAUCUGAAUAUUUUGAGUGAAAAACCGUGAGAGAGAGAAAGGGAGAAAGAAGAAGAAGAAGAGAAAAGAGGGAAAUUAGAAAGGAAAUAGAAAGGAGUUGGAGGAAAUAAGUAAAAAGGUAAGAUUAUGUAUAAAUAUGUGUUAAUUAAGCUUUAAUUUCGAUUUUGAUAAAUGUUAGGGUUUUGAAAAUUUGAGUUUUGAGUUUAAUUGAUGAAUUAAGUUGAAUGUUUGGGUUGAUUGUUAUGGGUAAUUGAUUAAUGAGUUGAUUAUGGAAGAUUGUGAUGAUUUUGAGUUAUGAAUUGUGUAAAUGGUGAAUGUUGAGUUAGAAAUUUGGCAAGAACAGUAGGUUUCUGUUAAAAAUUCUGGGUUGGAGGUUGAAGAUGACGAAAAUUCAAUUUGGUCCCUCAAUUUUGGAAAAUUACAGUUUAGUCCCCAAACUUUGGAAAAUUUGCAGAUUGGUCCCUGGAGCAUAUUCCGAGAAUCUGAACAGAAUAACAUAUGAAUUAUGGACAGAAUUACUGUAUAGAUAAGAGAAUUUAACACUUUCAAUUUAGUCCUUCAAUUUGACACAAAUUACAAUUUGACCCUAAAAAUUUGGUAAAAUUCCAGAAUGGUCCUUGGAGUAUAAUGAGAUGAUCUGGACAGAAAUGAGGACUAAUUAUGGUCAGAAUUUCAGUAUAUUCAUGGAUUUAUGAUAAAUUUCAGUUUGGUCCUUCAAUUAGACAAAAGUUGCAAUUUGACCCUUAAAAAUAGGAUAAAUUACAGAUUGGUCCCUAGCUGUAAUAUUAGCCUUUUCAGAUUAGUUUGAUGAAUAAUUAAGGGUUAUUUAGUGAAUUAUUGCCAAUUUUAUUAGUUGUUUUAUUAUGGAUUAGAUUUCGAGAAAACCGUUAAAUUUUGGGUUUUUGAGAAAAUUGACUAGUUAGUUCAAAAACAUAUAGGGUUACGGAAUACAUCAUUAGUUAAGUUUAUUAAAUAGGUUAAAUGUUCUUUUGAGUCGUUCUUGAAUAUGUCUCCUUUGUAUUCAGAUAAUCCUGAUAUUCUACCGACAGGACGUCAGUAGGAUUUUCUUCGGUGUCUGCUUUUGGCUUCUGUUUGCUUUUGAGUCAGGUGAGUGGAUAACUUUCCAUAUGCAUGAGAAAUAGUAUAAAUAUUUGAUUUGUUAAUAUGAAUUGAAUCAUGCUUCUUGAUAAUAUAUAUGUUGAUUAUUAUCCUUAUUUUGAUAAAGCAUGAUCAAUUAUUGAAUCUGAAUUCUUGAUAUGAACCAGUAUAUAUUUUGAAUUGAAUUCUGAAUUGAUAGCUCCUCAUUUGAUUGAUGUCAUGAGUUGAGCCUUGAGAUAUGAAUACGUCUGUUUGAUUAUGAUUAUGAACCUAUGGUAUGUCAGUAAGAAUACCCAUACUAACAGGGUAGUGUUAGUCUUUGUGCACAUCGUAUCUGAACCCUAGUUGGUCGGGGGAGUCACCAACCUGUGUGGACUGAUCAUCCCACAGUACGGAGCCUCAUGCUCAUUGUAUUUGGAUUUUCUGACGAGUUUUACCAUAUGAUAUUCUUGUUAUGGCCUAUUUGAGAAACCUUUCUAUAAGAACCUAGAGCCAUACUUGUAUAUAUAUUUCUCAUUGCUGUAUUACCUCGUGUGUGUAUAUUGAACGUUAUCUACUCACUGAGUUGUUGAACUCACCAUCUCAUUAUUUAUCCUUUUCAGGCUUAUAGCUUGAUAGCAGGUCACUUUUGUUGGACUUUCCGAACCUGCUCUUUUGGUUGUAAUUUGUACAUUUUCCUUUAUGUCUAGUUAGUGCUCCAAAACUCCGAAAUUAUAUUAACUGUUGUAUUAAGACAAUUCAAUUAUAUUAUGAAGUUGAUUUUGUUAUUAAUGCUGCGUUGAACUCUGAUUGAGUUAGGAUAAGUUUGUGUGUAAGUUUGGGUUCGCAUAGGUAUGGAACCUUGGAGGGGAACCUUGCCUAUGUGCCGGUCAUGGAUCCGGGAUUCGGGUCGUGACAUUUAUCUAUCUAGUUUUGCAGGCUAGAAUUGAUAUGACUGCAGCAGCCUGUGAAAGUGCAGAAAAAGUAUUAGAAGAUACUCGUAACAGUUUGGCACCCGUCAAGGGCCAACGACUCUUCCGACUUUGGACAAGGCUCAGGCUGCUAAGAUUCAAGAGCAAGAGACCUUGCUCCGAGCUGCUGCGAAUG
rnacentral:lncRNA from 1 species